rnacentral:tRNA from 1 species
GGGGGUGUAGCUCAGUGGUAAAGUGCUUGCCUUGCAUGCGUGAGGCACUGGGUUCAAUCCCUGGCACCACAU